rnacentral:lncRNA from 1 species
UGUUUUGUGCAGUACACACGCGUUUUGGCCUUUGGUAAUAUCACUUCACUGCCGCUCAGACACAGCGCCAUCGUAGCUUUUUGUCUGUAUUCGCCAUUCGCUUCCAUAGACGUUAUUUUAGAAUUUGUAUUAUGUGUUUGUGUUACAGGUACAAAAGAUACAAAAUGCUAUAGAACUUUCAUCAAAGAUUUAUUAGGAUUUGGAGGUGCCUUGCUGUGUUGAGAGAGAAACAGAUAUAUGCUGUGCAAUCGUUGAGUUUCCAGAUGGUAUUCAGCUUGUACCGAAACUUCGGUUUCGUGAUGAUGUCUUUGCCUAACUGUGCAAAUCAACUAAACUUUAAUAAAACGAUACCUGAUCACAGGACUACAGAUACAAGGACAGAUUAUCCACCGAAUUGGAUCAUUGCAACCUCGUGGAGAUACAUAGCAUAAAUCUUUACGUUUAUACUUCAAGGGCAACAUGGAGGAACAACUUGAUCAAACGUCAACAAUGAAAAGAGCAAUUCUUCAGGAUCUACAGCAACUACUCCAUGAACAUCACGCAUUGGUCAGGCUGUCCAAGACUGCUUUGGAACGCAUGCCAGAUGAUAACUACAAAGUUGAGAUCAGAACGAAUAAAGAACCAGCUGGAACACACGAACAAUGCCCCAACAAUAGAUAAAGUUGCAAUUCCCAUUGUGGGUGAAAACUUGGACUUUGUGCUUACACGUCGCGAUGCUGGACAACUGCAAAACUGUAACAAAUAUCUGAAACACAUCGUUCGUACGACAUUCCAAUACCCGCUAAUGGUUUGGCAAGGAGAAGAUGGAUAUUGUUUCCAUAUACAAAUGAGAAAUCCAUUCAAUGGUGAGGAAACCACCAAGAAGGAGAGCUCGAUGAAUUACGCAUAUCGUUAGACGAUUCUCCAAAUUCCGACAACUAUUUGCUGAGAUUUCGUCGAUAGCUUCAGGACAUGUACGUCAAAAUCGAAAUGGAGCGCUUAACUUCCAUGCGGUUGAACCAAGCCAAACUACGUUCCGAGGAGUACAUCCUUUUAUGCGAUGCAAUUAGCAGUGAAGGAAAUGCGGCUAAUAUUGAUCGAUUAACUAUUCUGCUGGCGACGUUCAUAGGUAGUCUACGUCAUAUGCUUGAAUAUGGCCCAGAUGCAAUGAUGUAUGUUCGUUAUUACGGUCGGCCAGAUCUCUUCAUUACUUUUACGUGUAAUGCAAAAUGGAUUGAAAUUAGCCAAAUAUUGCUUCCCGGACAAACGUAGAGUGAUCGACACGAUGUUGCUGCACAAAACGAAAACUGCAUGUCAGGGACAAAAAUACAGUCCCUGAUGAACUACAUCGUUAAAAUUACGAAGCUGAUCCAGAACUACAUGGUGUAAUUACAAAUAUGGUUCUUGGAUUCUCUGACACCAUCAAAACCCAAUCACCAUGCAUGGUCGACGGAAGGUGUUCCAAACGAUAUCCACGGAAAUUUACGGCGGAGACCGUCACUCGCAACGAUGGUUAUCCACUGUACCGGAGUCGAUCACCCGAUCAUAACGGCCGAACUAUCACAACAAAAGUGAAAAGAACGGAUUUCUUGGUCAACAACAGUUGGGUUCUUCCACAUUCACCACUAAUUUCGAAAACUUUCAAGACACAUUGCAACGUUGAAUAUUGUAAUUCAGUAAAGUCCAUCAAAUAAAUCUUCAAAUAUGUUACGAGAGGCAACGA